rnacentral:rRNA from 2 species
AACGAUGAAUGCUAAGUGUUGGAGGGUUUCCGCCCUUCAGUGCUGCAGCUAACGCAUUAAGCAUUCCGCCUGGGGAGUACGGCCGCAAGGCUGAAACUCAAAGGAAUUGACGGGGGCCCGCACAAGCGGUGGAGCAUGUGGUUUAAUUCGAAGCUACGCGAAGAACCUUACCAGGUCUUGACAUACUAUGCAAAUCUAAGAGAUUAGACGUUCCCUUCGGGGACAUGGAUACAGGUGGUGCAUGGUUGUCGUCAGCUCGUGUCGUGAGAUGUUGGGUUAAGUCCCGCAACGAGCGCAACCCUUAUUAUCAGUUGCCAGCAUUAAGUUGGGCACUCUGGUGAGACUGCCGGUGACAAACCGGAGGAAGGUGGGGAUGACGUCAAAUCAUCAUGCCCCUUAUGACCUGGGCUACACACGUGCUACAAUGGAUGGUACAACGAGUUGCGAACUCGCGAGAGUAAGCUAAUCUCUUAAAGCCAUUCUCAGUUCGGAUUGUAGGCUGCAACUCGCCUACAUGAAGUCGGAAUCGCUAGUAAUCGCGGAUCAGCAUGCCGCGGUGAAUACGUUCCCGGGCCUUGUACACACCGCCCGUCACACCAUGAGAGUUUGUAACACCCAAA